rnacentral:rRNA from 1 species
UGGCUUAAUUUGACUCAACGCGGGAAAUCUUACCGGGUCCGGACACACUGAGGAUUGACAGAUAUAUACCCGUGAGUACUUCGGUGCUCGCGGGUUGAAAGAUGCUAGUUCUUUCAUGAUUAUGUGAUAGGUGGUGCAUGGCCGUUCUUAGUUCGUGGAGUGAUCUGUCUGCUUAAUUGCGUAUCAAUAAUAGAGACCUAGUAUACGCGUAGACUCAUGCGGUAGUGACCCCCCUUCACAGGGCGCGUGUCGCACGUAUGUUAUACGCACAGGUCUCCGAUAGCAACGAACGUGACCGUACUCUAUUGUUGCAGCGACAAUACCUUUCAACGGGUAUUACCGCUGCUUAGCAAGAUUCGUCUUGCAUUAAACUAUAGAGACCGCUGUUUCUUCUUUAAACCAGAGGAAGGAUACGGCAAUAACAGGUCUGUGAUGCCU